rnacentral:rRNA from 1 species
CACGUAGGGGGCAAGCGUUGUCCGGAUUUAUUGGGCGUAAAGAGCUCGUAGGUGGCUGAGUAAGUCGGAUGUUAAAUCCCCAGGCUCAACCUGGGACACCACCCGAUACUGCUCUGGCUAGAGUCCGGUAGGGGAGCGUGGAAUUCCUGGUGUAGCGGUGAAAUGCGCAGAUAUCAGGAGGAACACCGGUGGCGAAGGCGGAUCUCUGGGCCGAUACUGACGCUGAGGAGCGAAAGCGUGGGGAGCGAACAGG